rnacentral:rRNA from 1 species
UACGGGGGGGAGCAAGCGUUGUUCGGAUUUACUGGGCGUAAAGGGCGCGUAGCGGCCACCGCAAGUCGACUGUGAAAUCUCCGGGCUUAACCCGGAAAGGUCAGCCGAUACUGCGGGGCUAGAGUGCAGAAGGGGCAACUGGAAUUCUCGGUGUAGCGGUGAAAUGCGUAGAUAUCGAGAGGAACACCUGCGGCGAAGGCGGGUUGCUGGGCUGACACUGACGCUGAGGCGCGAAAGCUAGGGGAGCGAACGGG